rnacentral:rRNA from 1 species
GGAAACUUGUUGAAGGUAGGCCCGAAGAAAGGUGCAUCGUUUACCUGUCAAAGUAUUGUGGUGGGUAUUCAAACGUUCAAACGAGGGUGUAUAUGGCAAGUGGGUACAGGCGCACACAUAGAUAUAUGGCAAGACCCAUGGAUCCCAUCGAGCCCUUCGCGGAAACUUAUCACCCUGCGAGGACCAGUGAUGCUAAGAUAUGUGGAAGAAUUGAUUGAUCCUCAUUAGGGGAAGUGGGACGAAGCACUAAUCCGAGACGUGUUUUCUCUGGUUGAUGCUCACAGGAUCCUCCAAAUACCCUUAAAUGUUCAGGUGAUGGAGGAUUUUAUAGCAUGGAAUUUCAUGAGGUCAGGGACGUUCUCGGUCCGGUCAGCUUAUCAUAGAGGAUUUGAGCACACAUAUGGACACCGGCUUGCUAGAUCUGAUGGGCAAGGGAAUGCACAAGCUAACACAAUAUGGCAGGAAGUGUGUAACCUUAAUUUGCCUGGGAAGAUCAAGCACUUCACUUGGAAGGCGCUAAAUGGUUCACUGCCCUGCUAUGGAAUACUAGCUAACAGGCACAUCCCGCUUACACCAUAGUGUCCUUUCUGUUCGGUUGGGCUGGAAGAUAUUCAACAUUGCUUGUUUACAUGCCAAAGAGUACAGGAAGUCUGGACAGAAUUGGGAGUACUGAAUGUUAUUGAGGAUGCGGUUAUGCAGGAUAGGUCUAGAUCAGUUACAACAGAGAUUCUUAGUUGGGUACAAGGCAUCUCUGAAGGAGUACCAAUGCCUGAACUUUUUCUGGUAGCUGCAUGGUAUCUCUGGUGGCAGAGGCUUCAACAUGUGAAGGGGGAGGAGAUCCAAACAGUAGAAAAAGCAGCAAUAUCAAUUCGAGUGCUAGCGACCAAUUUUACUCGAGCAUACUCUAGCAAGUACUCAGAAAGGAAGCAAGACCACAUGUGGAAGCGGCCGACAAAUUAUGUGGUAAAAGUUAAUGUUGAUGCUGCUUUCUAG